CGGAUUAGAUACCCUGGUAGUCUUGGCUGUAAACGGUGCGCAUUUGCUGUAAACGGAAUCGACCCCGUUUGUGGCGAAGCUAACGCGAUAAAUGCGCCGCCUGGGAAGUACGGUCGCAAGAUUAAAACUCAAAGAAAUUGACGGGGGCCUGCACAAGCGGUGGAGUAUGUGGCUUAAUUCGAUGCAACGCGAAGAACCUUACCUGGCCUUGACAUGCAAGUGGUAGAACCAUGAAAGUGGGACGACCCCGCGAGGGGAGCUUGCACAGGUGCUGCAUGGCUGUCGUCAGCUCGUGUCGUGAGAUGUUGGGUUAAGUCCCGCAACGAGCGCAACCCUUGUGUCCUGUUGCCACUCCCUCGAGAGAGGGAAGCACUCUGGACAGACUGCCUCGCUUAAACGAGGAGGAAGGUGGGGAUGACGUCAAGUCAGUAUGGCCCUUACGGCCAGGGCUGCACACGUACUACAAUGCAUGGCACAAAGGGAAGCCAGACCGUCAGGUGGAGCAAAUCCCAAAAAACCAUGCCCAGUUCAGAUUGUCGUCUGCAACUCGACGACAUGAAGCCGGAAUCGCUAGUAAUGGCGCAUCAGCUACGGCGCCGUGAAUACGUUCCCAGGCCUUGUACACACCGCCCGUCACAUCAUGAAAGCCGGUUGUACCCGAAGUCAUCGCUGCUAACCGCAAGGAAGCAGAUGCCGAAAGUAUGGCUGGUGAUUGGGAUGAAGUCGUAACAAG
rnacentral:rRNA from 1 species